AUACGGAGGGUGCAAGCGUUAUUCGGAUUUACUGGGCGUAAAGCGCGCGUAGGCGGUUUAGUUAGUCUGAUGUGAAAGCCCGGGGCUCAACCCCGGAAGUGCAUUGGAUACUGCUAGACUAGAGUAUGGGAGAGGAGAGUGGAAUUCCUGGUGUAGAGGUGAAAUUCGUAGAUAUCAGGAGGAACACCAGCGGCGAAGGCGGCUCUCUGGACCAUCACUGACGCUGAGGUGCGAAAGCGUGGGUAGCAAACAGGAUUAGAUACCCCAGUAGUCC
rnacentral:rRNA from 1 species